GAUGAACGCUGGCGGCGUGCCUAAUACAUGCAAGUCGAGCGAACGGACGCUAAGCUUGCUUCUCUGAUGUUAGCGGCGGACGUGUGAGUAACACGUGGAUAACCUACCUAUAAGACUGGUAUAACUUCGGGAAACCGUAUCUAAUACCGGAUAAUCUUUUGCACCGCAUGGUUCAAAAGUGAAAGACGGUCUUGCUGUCACUUAUCGAUGGAUCCGGGCUGCAUUAGCUAGUUGUUAAGGUAACGGCUUACCAAGGCAACGAUGCAUAGACGACGUGUGGGGGGGAUAGCCCACACGGGAGGGGGAACGCGGUCAAGAGGACUAAGAGAGGCAGCAGUAGGGAAUGUGCGGCAGAAGGGGAGAGCAUGACGGAACAACGGGAAGUGAGAGAUAAAGGUGUUGGGAGCGUAAAACUCUGUUAUGAGGGAAGAACAGAUGUGGAAGGAGAUGUACAGAGAGUGACGGUAACUAAUAAAAAAGCAACGGCUAACUACGUG
rnacentral:rRNA from 1 species